GAGCUUCUCGACUGCACCAGUUUCUCACCAUGGUGCACCUCCAAAUCCAAACCCCACCUCACAACAAACCCAACCAACCCCACACGAGGCCCCCGCCGCCACCACUCUUCCGAUGUCCCCCACCAUCCUCUCGACCCCCUCACGGUCCAAGAAAUCAACCGCGUCCGUACAAUCCUCUCUUCCCACGCGCCGCUCAAAGCAUCGAAGAGGUAUACGAUUCACGCCGUUGACCUGGAGGAGCCGGCGAAGCCACUCGUCCUCCGGUGGAAGA
rnacentral:lncRNA from 1 species